GUUUAGCUAAUUUUCAUUUUAUAAAUACACCUUUCUUUCCCCUUCACUUUGCCCUCAUUCCUUGCUAUUAUAUUAACAAGUCCAUUGCAAUUAUCCCUUCCCCCACACUCAUAGCUCAUCAUCAAGAAUGGUGGACAGCAACACUCCCUGCACAAACUUGCACCUCUGAGACUUCUCCUCUUGGUCCUUGUCUGACAGCCGGAACUGUUGGACUUUUCUUUCCCGGAACUCCUCAGUCGUGCUCCCAUUCUUCCCUAAGCCUGCUUCAACUGAAGAAUUAGGCUGUAUGUUCAGAGGUUCAUCCAGAGAAGGUGGAUUAAAUAUAAAUGAUGAAAGCAAUGGAUCUGGUUCUGAGUUGGAGGAAGAAACAACGCAUGAAGAACCACCCAGAAGGGUUUGUAAGCUUCCUUCUCGCAGCUCUUUUCUCAAUAGUGAAAAUGCCGAAUUAGAUCCUCCCUUGCGCAAUCUCCUUUUCUGCUGCACCUUAAAGAAGUUGCCAUGUUGC
rnacentral:misc_RNA from 1 species